rnacentral:rRNA from 1 species
AUUGAACGCUGGCGGCAUGCUUUACACAUACAAGUCGAACGGUAGCAGGGAGCUUGCUCCGCUGACGAGUGGCGAACGGGUGAGUAAUGCGUCGGAACGUGCCGAGUAGUGGGGGAUAACGCAGCGAAAGUUGUGCUAAUACCGCAUACGUACUGAGGUAGAAAGUGGGGGACCUUCGGGCCUCACGCUAUUCGAGCGGCCGACGUCUGAUUAGCUAGUAGGUGAGGUAAAGGCUCACCUAGGCGACGAUCAGUAGCGGGUCUGAGAGGAUGAUCCGCCACACUGGGACUGAGACACGGCCCAGACUCCUACGGGAGGCAGCAGUGGGGAAUUUUGGACAAUGGGCGAAAGCCUGAUCCAGCCAUGCCGCGUGUCUGAAGAAGGCCUUCGGGUUGUAAAGGACUUUUGUCGGGGAGGAAAUCCCCAGCGCUAAUACCGCUGGGGGAUGACAGUACCUGAAGAAUAAGCACCGGCUAACUACGUGCCAGCCGCCGCCGUAA